UAUCUUCCCGUGGGCUAAGUACCAAACCUAAUAGUAACAUAUAUGACUUACUUUCCUAAGCAAAUGCCUGAGCCACCAAAAUGCCAGCAAAGAUGAGAAGUAGUACAGAAUAUUCCUCUUCAGGCAUGAGUAGAACUAGGCCACAGCUGAUUUCACAAAGUGGUAAGCAUAUGUCAAUGCUUAAAAUAAUAACCCUCCAUUUCCCGCCUCUUGAUUUUUCAGUGUAAACUUGUGGAAGCUCAUGAAUAAAAUAUUUCUUUUUUUUUUUUUUUUGCCAGCCUCAAAGUUUAUGUUAGCCCCGAGCCAGAAGAAAUGAAUUUUUAAUUUUUAAUCUGAAACAUUUUCCUUCUGUUUUUCAUAGGUUUCUCCUCAGAAAAGAAAGUCAAUUAGUAGAAGCACACAUAAGUGGAGGAGCAUAUUGGCCAAAGUAGUGUUUCCCUUUGGCACGGAGAGAGGAAAAGAUUUGGGGCAGCUAAGAUCCCAAUCAAGUCUGAGAAGCCAGCAUUACACAACCAAACGCAACGUCCAGUUUCCUCGAAAUGAGAUGUCGCAGAUGGAUUAUGGGCCAUUCUUUGAAACUCUCUUCAGCAUAUGGCUGCUGGAUUUACAGAGACUGAUUUCAUGAUUUCAGCAACUCCACUUUUGGUACAGUGAUGUUCUCUGUUGAUUGAAAAAUAUAUUCCCUGGGGGAAAAGUUCCUGCAGUUGUAAAUUUGUAACAUUGCUCCUAUUGUUUUCAUAGGGCUUGGUUCUUUAGCCAGUUUGACUAGAUACUGUGUUCGUCAUUGUUGACCUUGGUGAACCUAGGAAUAGGACUGAAGACGUGUAUAGACGUCCUUAAACUAAAUGAAUGGUUCAAUCUGAAUAAAACGGUAACCUCGAAA